rnacentral:rRNA from 1 species
AUUGAACGCUGGCGGCAGGCCUAACACAUGCAAGUCGAGCGGAUGAAGGGAGCUUGCUCCUGGAUUCAGCGGCGGACGGGUGAGUAAUGCCUAGGAAUCUGCCUGGUAGUGGGGGAUAACGUCCGGAAACGGGCGCUAAUACCGCAUACGUCCUGAGGGAGAAAGUGGGGGAGCUUCGGACCUCACGCUAUCAGAUGAGCCUAGGUCGGAUUAGCUAGUUGGUGGGGUAAAGGCCUACCAAGGCGACGAUCCGUAACUGGUCUGAGAGGAUGAUCAGUCACACUGGAACUGAGACACGGUCCAGACUGCUACGGGAGGCAGCAGUGGGGAAUAUUGGACAAUGGGCGAAAGCCUGAUCCAGCCAUGCCGCGUGUGUGAAGAAGGUCUUCGGAUUGUAAAGCACAUUAAGUUGGGAGGAAGGGCAGUAAGUUAAUACCUUGCUGUUUUGACGUUACCAACAGAAUAAGCACCGGCUAACUUCGUG